UACGUAGGGACCGAGCGUUGUCCGGAAUCAUUGGGCGUAAAGAGCGUGUAGGCGGCCACUUAAGUCCUGCGUGAAAUCUUGCGGCUCAACCGCAAGCGGUCGUGGAAAACUGGGUGGCUAGAGUGCGGGAGAGGAGAGUGGAAUUCCUGGUGUAGCGGUGGAAUGCGCAGAUAUCAGGAAGAACACCCGUGGCGAAGGCGGCUCUCUGGAACGCAACUGACGCUGAGACGCGAAAGCGUGGGGAGCAAACAGG
rnacentral:rRNA from 1 species